AGGGGGAAUUCAGUUUAACCUCAGCACACAACCCUAGACGGAGAGUGAGGAUUGAGCAUCGCGGAGUGAAAACGGCCUCAGAGAAGACCCGCUGCGAACCAAGAGGUGAAGGAGAGGACAAAGCACUGGAUUUAAGGUGUUGUAAACA
rnacentral:lncRNA from 1 species